rnacentral:rRNA from 1 species
AGGACGAACGCUGGCGGCGCGCUUAAUACAUGCAAGUCGAGCGAGAACCAGGGCUUCGGCUCUGGGGACAGCGGCGAACGGGUGAGUAACACGUGGGUAAUCAACCCCCGACACCGGGAUAGCCCAGGGAAACUUGGAUUAAUACCGGAUGCUCCGUCUGGCCUUCGGGCCGGCCGGAAAAGGGUAGCUUCGGCCUCCGGUCGGGGACGAGCCCGCGGCGGAUUAGCUUGUUGGUGAGGUAAAGGCUCACCAAGGCGACGAUCCGUAGCUGGUCUGAGAGGACGAUCAGCCACACUGGGACUGAGACACGGCCCAGACUCCUACGGGAGGCAGCAGUAGGGAAUCUUGCGCAAUGGGCGAAAGCCUGACGCAGCGACGCCGCGUGAGGGAAGAAGGCCUUCGGGUUGUAAACCUCUUUCAGGAGGGACGAAGCCACUCGGGUUAAUAGCCCAGAGGGUGACGGUACCUCCAGAAGAAGCCCGGCUAACUACGCGCCAGCAGCCGCGGU